rnacentral:rRNA from 1 species
GAUGAACGCUGGCGGCGUGCCUAAUACAUGCAAGUCGAGCGAACAGACGAGGAGCUUGCUCCUUCGACGUUAGCGGCGGACGGGUGAGUAACACGUAGGUAACCUACCUAUAAGACUGGGAUAACUUCGGGAAACCGGAGCUAAUACCGGAUAAUAUUUCGAACCGCAUGGUUCGAUAGUGAAAGAUGGCUUUGCUAUCACUUAUAGAUGGACCUGCGCCGUAUUAGCUAGUUGGUAAGGUAACGGCUUACCAAGGCAACGAUACGUAGCCGACCUGAGAGGGUGGUCGGCCCCGCUGGAACUGAGACGCGGACCAAGCUCCGAGGGGAGGCAGCAGUAGGGAAUCUACCAAAAUGGGCAAAACCCUGAAGGAGAAACGCCGGGUGAGUGAAAGAGGUCUUCGGAUUGAAAACCUUUGUUAUUAGGAAAACAAAAACGGAAAGAAACGUGUGGCCUUUGUAACGGUACCUAAUCAAAAAGCCGCGGCAAACUGCGU